rnacentral:misc_RNA from 1 species
UAGAGUGUUACAACUCCCAAACCCUUUGUGAACCAUACCUACAGUUGCUUCGGCGGGACUGCCCCGGCGCCUCAGCGCGCCGGAACCAGGCGCCCGCCGGGGGACCGAAACUCUUGAUUCCGCCAGCGGUUUCUUCUCUGAGUGGCACAAGCAAAAAUAAAUCA